rnacentral:lncRNA from 1 species
UUGAGCUUUGUGUUCUGCUAAAACAGAGGAUUAAGACAGAACAGCAUAAUAUAGAAUGAUUCCCACACUAAAAUCAUUGGUGUCAAAUGCACUUAUGCCUAGAAAUAGUGUUUCUUUAAAUAUACUUAAGUGGUGUGGGCUAAUAUUAUCUCUUGCUUCCUCAUAAACCCAUAUGCUGAUUUGAAAAAGAAGUGACCUGCAAGUAAGGUCUCUGUCAACUUAAUCAAUCUUAUUUUGAUCCCAAAACGUGUCUUCUUCACUUCCUGAAAAGGAAUAUGUUUCCUAAUUUGACAACGUGAUGAGCUAGAACUAUUUAAGGCAUGGAGAAAAACAAGAAGGCAUCAUGGAGACACUAACAGACCAGGCAGGAUGUCUUCAUGGCUUCAGAAUUAGAGUAACCACUCUUCCAUGUUGCUUAUCUGUGGCUCUACUGGGGAGACUCUACAGUUUCUGUGAAAAGAGGACAUCUACAGGGAACAUUUCACACCUCAGCAUGAGUGGGCCUGGGAUCUUUAGAUAUCUCAUUUUGCUGCCAUGUCAGAGGAAGAAGAUAACUUGGGAUUUUACUUGCAGAGAGGUCGUUGCUUCUUCCUAAAAUGGACUCUAACAUCAUUUGUUACUUUAUGAUUUUCUGUCAGUCCUCAGCUUAGUGUAUAAAGUUCAAGCAGUGAUUAAGCUUAUAAACAAGAUGGGCAGCUGUAUGAAAAAUAUCUUACCUGUGCUGGUGUGGAGGAGAGGGCAGCUUGUUUUGAUAACUGUUGAUUACACUGAAUUGCACUGAUGUACCCCAAGGCAUAUGUGGGACUUCAUUUUUGUAUCAUUCAAAAGAGGUUGAGUUACCCUGAAGAACAGCUAAUUUUAAUGUGAUAUAUAGAACUAAAUAAUAUUCCCUUAAUGACACAUAGUUUUUACAGUUAUUUAGUUAUCAGGAAAAAAAAUGUAAAGGAAUAGCAGAACAGUUUCCACUUCAUUCUAACCUGGAUACAUUUAUAUGUAAAGCUGUUAUUUGUGCCUAUCUUGAGCAGCUGUUGAGUCAUUUUCAGAACCACAAGCUGUGAGUAAUGGGUGUCUAAGAUCAGAAUCACUGUGCCUCUUCUUUCCCUCACUUGUGUUUCCUUUAGCCAAAGGUAAAUUUAUUUAUUUUGUUGAACUAUUUGAUGAGUGGCAAGCUAACUCAUUUCUGUAAGUGACUAUUUUUCCUUACGUGUGGAUUUUAAUAUUUUAAUCUCCUUAUUUGGAAGUCUCCCACUUGAUUAAUGCAUCUGAUUAUUACUAUGAGAGAACUAUCUUUGCUCCAACCCAUCAUUUAUGAAGAAUAUUCCCGAGAAACCUCAGCUUUUCAGUUAUGGCAAGCUGUCCAGCUUCUAUGACUUAUUGCUAACUGAAUACUUCUGCUGGGGUGACACGAAGAAAUAAACCUCAAACCUUCAAAAGGAGUAAAUUAUUU